AAAGUCGUAACAAGGUUUCCGUAGGUGAACCUGCGGAAGGAUCAUUACCGAGAUAUAAUUUUUUGCUUUGAUUCUGACCUCUGUAAAAAGAGGAAAGAGUUCUUAGUAAAAAGUCUCCCACCCUUUGUGUUACCAAUUUUAAUACUUUGGUGAAGCGUGCUUUAUUUUCGAUGUUUCUUCUUUUUAGUUGAGAGAGAGAAAAUAAGCCCAUUGACUCCCCUAAACCGGAGUGGAUGUGCCUUUGCCAAAGGACCCCAAAUCUUAACUCUUUUUUAUAUACAAAAUUGUCUGAGUUUAUAUUUUUAAAUAAACAAAACUUUCAACAACGGAUCUCUUGGUUCUG
rnacentral:misc_RNA from 1 species